UAGAGAUGUGAAAAUGGUGUAAUUCCCUCGCCCUGCCACUGGUUGGCGGUAUGUUUCUUUGAAACAACAUGAGCAAACAUUUCCUGCUUACCAAACGGGGGUGAAAAUGAGCACUUUGUUGGAAAACCGUCGUUGGAUUUAAAAGAUUCAGCAGCACAACUCUGUAUCUCGCCAGAAAAUCGCCCUCUGCAGCCAUGGUCGACACAGCGAAGCAAGCCCAAACAGGAAGUUAUUCCGACAGCAGCUUUGUCAUUGGCUUACUGACAGCCUCGUCAAGAUUUCAUUGGCUUCCGUACGCAAACGUGUAAGAGGAUAUGACCAAAUACGGAGUUUUCAAACUGACGUAUCUAAAUAGCAGUAAGUAGACAGGAAAGAGGGGAAAGAGAGGAGGAAACAUUCGGCAAAUGUUGCCAGGUCCAGGAUUCCAACCCAGGACAGCUGCAUCAAGGACUACAGCCUCUGCACACGGCCAGCACUGCGCCCAGCCACCAUCAUGUUUGACAGCUGGUGCAGUGUUGUUAGUCUCUAGAUGGCGCCAGGAGCAAGGAGGAACUGAGCCACAGGUGUUCUCCAUCGUAAUAGACCUGCCCAGGGGCUUAAAUACUACAGACAGCCAACACUCCAGUGCCUGAGUUUUGACCUUCAGUGGUUAUUUUGUGGUCCUGUACCCAGUAUCCAGUUCUGCCAUCAAGUAGAAGUUCUGACUUACUCGUCUCAAAAGGAUUAUCUUCGGAUGCCGCUUCGGUAGUUGUGGAGGUUUUCUCCUUCAAUAUUCCCUAGUAUUUAACCGUUCUCCUUGAUCAUUCCCACAUGACAAUGUAAAGAUAUCUUUUAUUCUCGGACUUCUUACAGGGAGGGCAUUAAAAUGGGCAGAGGCCCGUUUUACUGACUAUAACCAGUUUGGUUGUACAUAUGAUAAAUUCUUACUUGAAUAGAAGCUAACAUUCGCCACUGAGGCUGACCAGACCAAUACUACCCGACGUCUUUGGGCAAUUAAAUAAAGAAAUAGACCUGUUCUCAAUUGAGUUUCGUACUUUUGCAGCUGCUUCAGAUUGGAACUCCUGUGCUCUUAAAGCAGCUUUUUUCCAUUCCCUGAAUGAUUCUCUAAAAGAUGAACUAGCAAUAUUAGAUGAACCAGAGACAUUAAAUGAGCUAAUAGCAUUAGCCACGCAGAGAGAGACGAAGGCCGCGGAUUAAGAGAGUUGUUGUGAGACCUCAGCCACCCCAGUAUGUAUCCGGUCCCUCUCCACCAUCUAAUCCUAAUCCUGUUCGUUCUGAACCCGAACCCAUGCUGAUUGGAAGGACAAGACUUACCCCUGAAAAACGGCAAUGUCAAUUGCAAUUGUCAAAACAAUGUUUAUACUGUGGGACGUCCGGACACUUUAUUGCUAUCUGCCCCGUGCGACCAAAAGUCAGGGUCCGUCAGUAGAUGGGGUGACCUGGCGGACCAUCAAUUAAACCCCGAAAGAAACAGAUUCACUAUUCCUGCUACCAUCCUGUUCUCGCAAGAGUCUCUAAACCUGUCAGCAUUAAUCGACUCUGGAAGCAAGCAGAACCUCAUCGACCAGCGUCUAGUGGACCAAGCACAAAUUGACACAGAACCGCUUCCCAAUCCUCAACACGUAUCAGCCAUCGACGACUGAGCCCAGCUGAAAGAAACUAUGAUGUGGGAGAUCAAGAGCUCUUGGCUAUUAAACUGGCCUUAGAAGAAUGGCAUCACUGGCCGAAAGGCGCAGAACACCCAGAAGUGUCAAAUGGCCAGACCGAAAGAAUGAACCAAGAGCUCGAAUCCGCUUUGAGAUGCCUCACCUCAACCAACCCCACUGACUGGAGCCAGUUUCUCCCCUGGAUUGAAUACACCCAUAACUAACACAUGUCUGCAGCUACUGGAUUCUCCCAUUCAAAGCUUCUUUGGGCUAUCAACCCCCUCUGUUCUCGGCAGACGAGAAAGAGAUAUCUGUCACCUCCGUUCGCCACCACAUCCGUAGAUGUUCACACAUCUAGGACGCUGCCAAUCAAGCCUUCCAACGCACAGCCACUCAAAAUAAAAGGUUUGCAGACAGAAGGCAUACCCCAGCCCCUCAGUAUCAGCCUGGACAAAAGGUUUGGCACUCAUCACGAGAUAUUCCCCUAAAAUCCAUCUCCAGGAAACCCGCUCCCAGAUUCAUCGGCCCCUACAAGAUGAAGACAGUGAUCAGUCCCACAGCUGUUCGGCUGAAGCUGCCAUCAACUCUCCGCAUCCAUCCCACGUUCCACGUUUCCCAGAUCAAACCUUACAUCACCAGUGCAACUUUUGGUUAUCAUGGUGAUUGAACACAAACUGGUGGCGCACCAUUUCUGAUGACCACACAGUCAAACUAAUUUCUUAGGUCCCUCUUCCUGCUGCUUGGGGGUCAAGAGAUGAAACAACUGCUCUGAUCCUAAAUGCUGCUUGACCUCCUACCUCCUUCAAUUAUAUUCAAAAAUUUUAUUUCACAACAUAUUUUAAAUAUGCAUGUGUGUAGUGCCAAAAAAUUGGUAGUUACUUGUUUCUCUUCCUUAAAACUGAGAUGGAAACAUGACUUCUCUGAUGCAAGUCAUCAACCGAUUUAACCACAACAAAUUGUUUUAUCUGAUUUUUAUAAAUCAGAUGAUUUUUUUAGCUAUUUGAUUUUACUAUCAGCACAGAGACAUGACCCACCUGCCGAAUUAAAGGU